UACACAUGCAGUCGACGAGAGACUCUUCGGAGUAGUAAAGUGGCGAACGGGUGAGUAAUACAUGGGUAAUCUGCCUUUGAGCGGGGGAUAACCAGCCGAAAGGCUGGCUAAUACCCCAUACGCUUCCGGUCCCUCGGGUAAGGAAGGAAAGCCGCAUCGUGGAUGUGGCACUCGAAGAUGGGCUCAUGGCCUAUCAGCUUGUUGGUGGGGUAACGGCCCACCAAGGCUACGACGGGUAGCUGGUCUGAGAGGACGAUCAGCCACACUGGCACUGAGAUACGGGCCAGACUCCUACGGGAGGCAGCAGUGAGGAAUAUUGCGCAAUGGGCGAAAGCCUGACGCAGCGACGCCGCGUGGGGGAAGAAGGUUUUCGGAUUGUAAACCCCUUUUAGGAGGAAAGAUGGGGUGGGUUUCCACCCGGACGGUACCUCCAGAAAAAGCCACGGCUAACUUCGUGCCAGCAGCCGCGGUAAUACGAAGGUGGCGAGCGUUGUUCGGAUUUACUGGGCGUAAAGAGCACGUAGGCGGUUUAGUAAGCCCCUUGGGAAAGCUAUGGGCUUAACCCAUAAAGGUCGAGGGGGACUGCUAAGCUAGAGGGCGGGAGAGGAGCGCGGAAUUUCCGGUGUAGCGGUGAAAUGCGUAGAUAUCGGGAAGAAGCCGGUGGCGAAGCGGCGCUCUGGAACGUCUCUGACGCUGAGUGCGAAAGCGUGGGGAGCAAACAGGAUAGAUACCCUGGUAGUCCACGCCGUAACGAUGGGUACUAAGUGUCGGCAGUUACUGUCGGUGCCGCAGUUAACGCAGUAGUACCCCGCCUGGGG
rnacentral:rRNA from 1 species